rnacentral:ncRNA from 1 species
AAAGACUUAGUCCUAACCUUACAGUUAGUUCUUGCCAGACAUAUACAUGCAAGUAUCCGCACCCCAGUGUAAAUGCCCCAAGCUUCUUGCCAAGAUAAAAGGAGCUGGCAUCAGGCACACUACAAAGUAGCAGCCCAAGACGCCUUGCUUGGCCACACCCCCACGGGUAUUCAGCAGUAAUUAACAUUAAGCAAUGAGUGUAAACUCGACUUAGUCAUGGCAAAGCCAAGGGUCGGUAAAUCUUGUGCCAGCCACCGCGGUCAUACAAGAGACCCAAAUUAACCGUCAUACGGCGUAAAGAGUGGCCUCACCUUGUUGUAGCAACUAGGACUAAAACGUAACUAAGCUGUCAUAAGCCUAAGAUACCCAUAAGCCCGCCCUCAACAUGAUCCUAGCACUAAUGAUUGACUGUCGCCACGAAAGCUAGGGCCCAAACUGGGAUUAGAUACCCCACUAUGCCUAGCCUUAAAUCCAGGUGCUUGUAUUGUACCAAAGCACCCGCCAGGGUAUUACGAGCACAAACGCUUAAAACUCUAAGGACUUGGCGGUGCCCCAAACCCACCUAGAGGAGCCUGUUCUAUAAUCGAUAAUCCACGAUACACCCGACCGCCUCUAGCCAAAGCAGCCUACAUACCGCCGUCACCAGUCCACCUUUCUUGAAAGCCUCGCAGUGGACACAAUAGCCUAACCCGCUAACAAGACAGGUCAAGGUAUAGCUUAUGUGGCGGAAGAAAUGGGCUACAUUCUCUAAAAUAGAGUAAUCACGGAAGGGGGUAUGAAACCUUUCCCCCAAAAGGCGGAUUUAGUAGUAAGUCAGAAUAAGAAUGUCUCACUUAAACUGGCCCUGGGGUACGUACAUACCGCCCGUCACCCUCCUCACAAGCCAACGACCUCUAUAAAUAAUUCCAAUACUUGCUGAAGAUGAGGUAAGUCGUAACAAGGUAAGUGUACCGGAAGGUGCACUUAGCAUACCAGGGC